rnacentral:rRNA from 1 species
CUUAAGCAUAUUAAUAAGCGGAGGAAAAGAAACCAACAGGGAUAUUCUCAGUAACGGCGAGUGAAGAGAAUACAGCCCAGCGCCGAAUCGUAUUGCUUGAAAGGGUGACACGACAUGUGGUGUGAAACAGGCGGCUGUUGAUGUUGUCGAUGCGUGUAAGUCUUCUUGAGCGGGGCUCAGUCCCAGAGAUGGUGCUAGGCCCGUAUCGCGCAUGACAAGUACAGCAACGUCCGCUUGUGGAGAGUCAGGUUGUUUGGGAACACAAUCUAAAGCCGGUGGUACACUCCAUCGAAGGCUAAAUAUGACCACGAGUCCGAUAGCGAACAAGUACCGUGAGGGAAAAUUGAAAAGCACUUUGAAGAGAGAGCGAAAUAGUGCGUGAAACCGCUUAGAGGCAAGCAGAUGGAUUCUCGAAGGUGUGCAUAGGAUUUAUUUCCUAGUUCUCACGCCACCACUGUUGUUGACGUGCACCAUACGCUGACAUUUGGACGCUUGAGAUUGGGACUUGUGCCUGCUUGAGACGCUCGGUGUUGGACGUGUUGUGUUUCUGUGGCAUGCAAUAACAGAGCAGAGCAUUUGUCGUCGCUGUAAAGCGCCGACUGUGGCCGCUUGCUGAUGCAUUGUCGUUGUGGCGAGGCGCAAGCUUCGACAUGCGAUAUGUGUUGCAAAUCGGCUAUUAGUACCGGCAAGACGACUUUAAGACUCGGUGGCGAGUAGAUGAAAUUCCAUCUAACCCGUCUUGAAACACGGGACC